rnacentral:rRNA from 1 species
UACGGGGGGGGCAAGCGUUGUUCGGAAUUACUGGGCGUAAAGGGCUCGUAGGUGGCCAACUAAGUCAGACGUGAAAUCCCUCGGCUUAACCGGGGAACUGCGUCUGAUACUGGAUGGCUUGAGUUCGGGAGAGGGAUGCGGAAUUCCAGGUGUAGCGGUGAAAUGCGUAGAUAUCUGGAGGAACACCGGUGGCGAAGGCGGCAUCCUGGACCGACACUGACACUGAGGAGCGAAAGCCAGGGUAGCGAAAGGG